CUGGGCUUGACAUGCAUCUCUAAGCGCGUGAAAGCGCGUGACCCUUCGGGGGAUUUGCACAGGUGCUGCAUGGCCGUCGUCAGCUCGUGUCGUGAGAUGUUGGGUUAAGUCCCGCAACGAGCGCAACCCUUGUGAACAGUUGCCAGCGCGUGAAGGCGGGAACUCUGUUCAGACUGCCCAGAUCAACUGGGAGGAAGGUGGGGACGACGUCAGGUCAGUAUGGCCCUUACGCCCAGGGCUGCACACGUACUACAAUGCCCGGCACAGUUGGAGCCGAAACCGCGAGGUGGAGGAAAUCCGCAAAACCGGGCCCAGUUCGGAUUGGAGGCUGCAACCCGCCUCCAUGAAGUCGGAAUCGCUAGUAAUGGCGCAUCAGCUACGGCGCCGUGAAUACGUUCCC
rnacentral:rRNA from 1 species